rnacentral:rRNA from 1 species
UACAUACGUCGGCAACACGUCGGCAGAACACGAGGAAGUGAGUUCCGGCGGUGCCGUAGGCGUGUAUAGGCCACCGCCGUUUGCGGCAAGUAGGGCCAGGUGCUCGCGGUCGGCGGAGGCCGGCCCGGGCGGCCGUCGCAGUACCAGGUGGCACCCGGCGCGGAAGCACGGCUCGGCCGGGGGUAGAGGCGGUGGUUGGAGAGGACAUAUUUCGGAGCGCCGGACGCGGACGGAGGAGGAGGGUGGUCAAGGUCCUGUUGGUCGCUGUCGGCGGUGAAGCAGGUCGAGGCCGGGGCCCUCCUAGCGAAGCGACGGUUUAGCGAGCAGCUGCCGCCCUACCCCCUCCGCAGGUGAGGCCGCUAGCGGUUCCUACAGUGGCUCGACUAGCCCUUGUGCGGCAACCACAUGGAGUUGUUCCACUGGCUGCCCACGCACCCCGCGCAGCGGCGGUUCGAGCUCAGGUACCUCGGGACGAGGUCGCAGUUCCUGUCCUAACCCAUGUCGUACUAGUGGCUGCGCCUCCUCUUCCCCAAGUAGCAGGGUCCGUUCUCACACGACUAACUUGGUUGGUCACCGUUGUGUCCGUAACCCGACCGGAAGUACCGACGACGGUUCCCAAUGUCUGAACAUGAGUGUUACGGGCGGAGGUACUCAUACCUCUCCUCUUAGUAGAACUUCCGGAAACCACGACUCGACUAGGAGUGGCUGGGUGAGAACCCUUACUUUCCUCGACAGGUUUUCCGCCUUCUCGAACGUCGUUUCUGCGGGUUGAGUAUGUAGGAAGUCGUCAAGCUCUUAGGACGGUUGGGUUUCUAAGUGAUGCUCUGUUGACCCGGACUUUAGACCUUUCCGUGUCCACCUUUCUAGCUACCGGAACAAAGACCGUAGCCCUGUCCACCAUGGUAAUGACCUUGACCUUUCAUGGAGUUUCUCGUUUUGAGAUUGUAGUUCGAGAUGCCACACCUCGGAUGGCUCUCACGACAGAAUUUACCACCUUUCGGACCUGGUGUGUUCUAGGUUCCUUAACCUCGACCAAAAUAGGGACCACAGAACCUACAACUGUAGUAACUACUUUGGUAUGUCCAAAGUUCACUACUCAGAUAACUCUACCGUUUCAGAGAACGUAACUUUCUUCCUAACGACCAACCCUAGAGAAGACCACGACGACGUCGACGACGUUAGUUCCAACGAGUCUCCGGACUUUUACGUCCCUUUGAGAAACAACAACACAAGGGCUCGAAGCCUCUCGCGAUGGAAAGCAGCCACGAGAAGGUGAGGUAGUUCUUCCUCCGGCUCUCGUACCACCAGCUCACUGCGAGCCCUGAGCAGAGGAGUUCGCGCGCUUCGACAAGAGGCUUCGGCUUAGGGAGGUAAGUAUCCUCGGGAGAAGAUGUUCUUUAUUUAGAAGCCGCAGGGACGAUCACAACCAGACUGUAGUUUCAGGACAGUUCAAAAUUAGGGUGGAACACACCGUUACCCCUUAUGAAAACACAACCGGAACACCACAAAUCGUUAAACUUAAUGGAGGACGGACGGGACAUAUAACUUGAGGAGGAGACACCAGGUAUACAGUCGGUCACACUUUAUUUCGUAGUACCACGGGAAUGUACAGACUUAGAAACAAAAAGCAAGAUUUUGCCCCGACUGUUAAUGGAUCAGC